AGGUGGACUUCCUCCUGGCCUUCUUAAAUUCUUCAGGAGACCAGUCUCGAAAUUUCCUGGCUUGGUGGUAAAGAAGAGCCUCCUUGAGAGACCACAGGGAAGCGAGGCCCUCUCAUGGAUCCAAGGACCACACAUUCCUCCCCACACUGCCACGAAGUCACCGGCCAUGCUCCCAACCCAGGCACCAGUGUCCAUGUGAGAGAGGGGCAAGGCGGCGGCGGCCGGGAGAAGCCACGUUUUACCUGAUGACUAAGUGGCCAGGUGACUCCACUCUGGCCAGGGAACCAUGGGCCGAGGCCCUCGGGGACUCUCUGGGGCAGUGGUGCCUCCUUUCUCCUCAGGGCUUCUUUACAGAGCUGUGCUUGAGAAUGGAACGCAGCUGUGAUAAUUAUCUGAGGUUCAGCUCUUCCAGAAUGUCCUUAUCUCCUAAGGCCUCCGAGAUAAGCAGGAACCGCGGUGUCUGCCUUGCCUCCAAGCCUUUACCCUUGCUUAUCUCAGUGGAAAAUUCCAGCAGAGAUCUCUGAAUACCAGGUUAAAUUCCUGCACUCAACAAUCAGUUUGGCACGUGGCUGCCCGCCAGACUGGGCAGAGUAGAGGGGAGCCAAGGGAAUAAACCCAAAUCCCACCCCCAGGUGUCCAGAGCCUGGUGGGGAUGGGACAGUUGCCUGCAGAGCAAGAGGCUGCCGCCCAGGUUCCUACAAGCCUGAGAGCCUGACCUACAUACCCAGAGGAAGGGGAAUAACCCAGAGGACCUCUCCCAGGACGAAAUGCUGGCACAGGCAUGAGAAGCCCACGUGGCGGCCAAGAGGAGGGAGGGUCUCCCGGGCCCCAGAAGCACAAUGCCAGGGUCAGACGUACUGGGAGGCACGGGGCCGGGGACACUGUCAGUGGGCACAGGCUCUGGGCGGGCUGCAAGAGGGGUGAGGGUGGAGAGGCAGCCAAGCCGGGUUGUGGGAGGCCCUGCCUAAUUCUGUAGACACUAAGAUUAGAAACAACAAAAAUGGGCAGGGUACGGUGGCUCACACCUGUAAUCCCAGCACUCUGGGAGGCUGAG